CACGUAGGGACCAAGCGUUGUCCGGAUUCAUUGGGCGUAAAGAGCUCGUAGGCGGUUCAGUAAGUCGGGUGUGAAACCUCCAGGCUCAACCUGGAGACGCCACCCGAUACUGCUGUGACUAGAGUCCAGUAGGGGAGCGUGGAAUUCCUGGUGUAGCGGUGAAAUGCGCAGAUAUCAGGAGGAACACCAGCGGCGAAAGCGGCGCUCUGGGCUGGAACUGACGCUGAGGAGCGAAAGCGUGGGGAGCGAACAGG
rnacentral:rRNA from 1 species